ACCAGUGGCAUCUGCUGGCUCUCAGAUGCACCUCCCUGUUGGACUUGGCCCGGAUCUUUUGGUCCGGGUUCUUUUU
rnacentral:ncRNA from 1 species